rnacentral:tRNA from 1 species
UCCCUGGUGGCUCAGAUGGUAAAGCGUCUGCCUGCAAUGCAGGAGACUUGGAUUCAAUUCCUUGGUUGGGAA